rnacentral:rRNA from 1 species
UACGUAGGGUGCGAGCGUUGUCCGGAAUUACUGGGCGUAAAGAGCUCGUAGGUGGUUUGUCGCGUUGUUCGUGAAAACUCACAGCUUAACUGUGGGCGUGCGGGCGAUACGGGCAGACUGGAGUACUGCAGGGGAGACUGGAAUUCCUGGUGUAGCGGUGGAAUGCGCAGAUAUCAGGAGGAACACCGGUGGCGAAGGCGGGU